ensembl:lncRNA
AUGCUGAAGCGGAGAUGUCCCUGUGGGCACAUGCAUCUGCUGGCCCAGCAAAGCCGGGCAGUGCUGGCAGGGUGGGCAGCCCCAAGGUCCGACCCGUGGGUGGAGGCAGGAGCAGUGCCACCCAGCCUCCUCGCCUGCCCUGAGGCUGCAGCUGCCUCCCGGACCAGCGCUGUAACACUCAUGGGAAGAAGUUGCUGCAAGGGGAAGGGGAAGAGGGACGGUCCUGGCUGGAGAGGGGGUAGGCUGCAAGACCUCUCUGGUCUCCGGCUGGCAGGGGCAGAGCAGCCUCCUGCCCUGACCUGCCUGCAGCGGGGCUCAGCCGGCUCUGCUUUGGGAAGCAGUGGUGCAAGGAUGCAAAACGCUUGUUUGUUUUUUUUCCUGACCAGCCUGGAGGCACCAUGUGGACAGAGCCUCUUCCCACGCCAGGCAGCCCCAGGACCGCCCACCAGCACAUGCAAAUCCCGGGAUGUUUCCUGGCUGCUUCUGAGCCUUGGCAGCAUCUUGCUUCUGGCUGAGGCUCGCAGGGAGGCUCCGACCCAGCUCUGCCGAGCGCCUUGCUUGCCUGCUCCUCCUUCGCCUGGGAAACGUGAGCCCAGAGCACGACCCUGGCCCAGUGCAGCAGCUCUGCUCCUCUGCAGCUGCGGCCCAGCCCCAGCCUCCCCGGAGCCGCCUGCACAGCACAGCCUGUGCCCGGGGCCAGGUGCUGGGAGCCCCGGUGUCAGCGCUGGCCCAGCGAGCACCCACGGCCAGGGGCAGCCCCACGCACGGGGACGCCGCCUGUUGUACAGGGUAUAGGAUGCUUUCCCUAGAAACGGACACAUUAAAUGCUCUGCAGUCUCGGCUCAGCCAUGUGAAGCAGCCAUGCAGCACUGGAUAAAUGAGUGGGCAUCUGAGAUCAUGGGUGACUGCAGCACACAGAGAAAGUCAUGCAAAAGGAAGACGCAGCUUAAGUGCCACAUCACGAACGUGUGCACGUGGUUUGGGCAGUUCAAAGACAGUUCCUUCAGUGAUGGGCAGUGCUAUUAUCUGAUAAUACCUGAAAUCACUUUAUUAGGUGCUACGUCCUGCCUCGGGUGAAUUAUUCCAGUGCUGUGACUCAGGAGAGCAGUUGCUGCUGGGGUGAUGGUCUGCACCUGCCGCUGGUGUCUCCUGGCACACAGGUAUGAACAUGCUGCCUGCCAGCAGCCCUCGCUCCUCCAGGCUCUGCACUGCUCACCCCUGUUCCAAUUAUAAAUCUCUGUCAGUUAAGGAUCCUUCAGAACUCUCCACGAAAUCUAGAAAGUUUCUAUCCUUAGCAGAGAGCUGAUUCUGACCUUCCCAGGAUGAAGCCCAUGGGCCAUGCCAAUGCUGCAGCUGGAGCACAGCUGCCGAGCCCGAGCAGCUCGGCUCACGCUUGUCCCGCCGAGCACGAGGCCCCGCGCUCUCCAGGAACACUCCUGUUGGCAUGGACCGGAGUCCUGCAGGUUGGAAAGCACACGGUGCCCGAGGAGAGUGCUCAAAUACCUCUGACACCGAGACCCUCUCCCAAGUCAGAAGCUACAGUGAACUCAUCUGACAGGCAAACACGGCCACGCCGGUGUGCGAACAAACGGCAGCAUCUGUCCGCCUGGCUUCAGUGGUGCUCCUCGUGCGAGGGCUGCGCUCCAAACGCCGGCGGUGCCCGGAGCCUCGGAGCCAAGUGCUCGCUCUGUGCUCCAGCGCGGGGCGCAGCCUCCCCGCUGCACCCAGGUAAGUACACGGGAGCUGCUGAGGCCCAGGCCGGGCGUGCAGGAGCCCAGCGCCCGCCAGCAGGAGAGCAGCAGAGACUCGCAGCCCCCAGAUACAGGAGGAAAGGCUCGCUACAUGCAGAGGGCUAAAUCUGGUGGCUGUUGUCUGUGGCGCAGUGGGAGCCUGGCCCUGCUGGCUUGACACCGCUGCCCUGGGCGCUGCCCGGGCACAGAGCGGGGCUGUGCUGGUGGCCAGGGACGCUGCGUGGCCGGGGCAGGCGCUGUGACGGGGUGGGCAGUGAGGGCAGGGGCUGGGACGGAGCUGCCGGGAGCCUUGGGCAUGCAGCACGCGUGCGAGCAGGGCUGUGCCAGAACCCCUGCUCUCGGCUUGCGGUCUCCAUGUUUUGAGGAGGCUGACGGCACAUCGGCGGUUUGCAUUUGAAAAGUGUCUUAUAAUUGUAUGCUAGGUGGUAGCUGUUUGUUUCCCUGGCUGGAACCCCCGGGGUGCAGAAGUCAUCUCUCCUGGUCUUGUGUGAGGCUUCGCCCCCACAAAUCUGUGCACAGAGAGAGGAAGGUGCUGCUGCCAGGCCACGCCUCUGCAGAGCCAGGUGCGAGCCCCCCGUGCAUGCCUGGAGCUGGGUCUUGGGGCGGUGUGAGCCUGCGCACGCCUCCAUCCAUCGUCUCCAGCCAGGGUGCUCGCCCCAGGGCCGCGCUGCCCACCCGCUGCACACCCCAGGAGACACAGCAGCACUCAGAACCCUCUCAUGCUCAUCCUUCUCCAGUACUGCAGCCUCUUCUGCAGGUCUUGGCUGGCUCCAGCAGGUGAGGAACCACACGUCUGAAACAUUUUGUGCUCCUUUUUCCGGGUUCUGGUUACGGCUGUGGUGGCAGGGAGUGCUGGGCUCCUCCGGUGUUGCCUCCCUCCCCUAGCACGGCACUGCUGUCGGUGGCAGUGACAUGAGAACAAUACUUUAUGUAAAUAACUUCCAAGCGGAGUUACUCAUUAUUAAUGCAGACAGUUCUGAAGGCGAAAGCAAACAGCAUUUGGCAGCAAGAACUUUUAAUGAGAAUGUCAUUAAGGAAUUCAGACUGCGAACCACAAAGUGAUUCCUGGUGCACCCGGCUGACUUCUCUGCCUUUCUGUUUCUUGCCUGUCCACUAAACAUAAAAAUGUCAUUUGUUUUUAUAACCCAGAAUCCAAGCUUUCUCUCUCUCCUUUUAUUAACCAAUUUAUUAGCAGGACAAGAGCAGCCAGCUGGAGUUGGAGGGCAGUGGCCUAUGAACCCUUUUUUUGCAAUCGUCCUAAUUAUUUAUUGCUAUCAGACAUCAGUGUUUCUAUAAAUUAAACCCUCUCUUCCCAUAGCUGCCCCAUGGGUUUAAAUCAAUACAGUGCAUCUCACAUAAUAUGCUAUUAUUAAUAAGCAAUGGCUUGAGAUCAUUCUACAUAACAUUACUCCGUAGCCUAGGAUGUGCUAAACCAGGGGGAGCGGGGGCCGGGACGAGGCGGAACCAGCCCAGGUAAGGAGGAACACGGCUGGUGCCCACCAGGCAAGGACUGGUGUGGCCUCAGAGCUGCAUCAACCCUAAAACCGAAGGAAAACUUAAGAUCUGAAAUGCUCGUGGAACAGCAUUUCUGGUCUAUGGAACACAGCGGCAUUCUGAAAUGCAUUUCCUCUUGAACUGGAACAAAACUUAAACAUUCACGGUAGAACAGGAGGAAAAAAACCACUUUAAUUUAGAAGCACUGGAGCUGUCUUCUUAAUAAUAUCAAAUUGUUUCAUUAUGUAUAAAAAUAUAUUAUCAAAUACAAUAUGCUACAUAUUAUAACGCUAAAUAAAUAUUUCAUAUUAUAUGCA